rnacentral:lncRNA from 10 species
CAUAAUGCUUUCAAGGUUUAUUCUGGCAGUAUGUAUACUUAUUUCCUGUAUAUGACUAAAUUAAUAUUCCAUUGUGUGAAUAUACAUUUUGUUUUCCAUUCACCAGUUGAUGGGCAUUUGAGUUGUUUCCACAUUUUCCUAGUACAAAUAUUUCUGCUGUAAACCGUCCUGUACAAUUUUUGUUUGAACACCUGUUUUUUAGUUAUUUUGGCUAUGUAUCAGGAGUAAAAUUGCUGGGUAGCAUGUUAUUUCUUUUUUUUUUCUUUUUUUUGAGAUGGAGUCUUGCUCUGUCAUGCCCAGGCUGGAGUGUGCAUUGGUGCAAUUUUGGCUCACUGCAACCUCUGCCUCCCAGGUUCAAGCUAUCCUCCCACCUCAGCCUCCUGAGUAGCUAAGAUUACAGGCAUACACCACCACACCCUGCUAAUUUUUUUUGUGUGUGUAUUUUUAGUAAAGAUGGGGUUUCAUCAUGUUGGCCAGGCUGGUGUCAAACUCCUGACCUCAAGUGAUCCCCCUGCCUCAGCCUCCCAAAGUGCUGGGAUUACAGGAUGAGCCACCAUGCCUGGUCUUAUAUAUUUUAGAUACAAGUCAUUUAUGAGACAUAUUAUUUGCAAAAAUAAUCUUGCACUGUGGCUGUCUUUCAAAUUUCUUGACUGUGUUCACUGAAGCAAAUUUUUUUUCAAUUUUAAUUAUGUCCAGUUUAUCUUUUUUUUCCUUUAUUAACUUGUGCUUUGGUGUAAGAAUUAAAAAUCUAAUACUUAAUUCAAGGUCACAAAAAUUUAUUCUAUAUUUCCUCCCAAGAGUUUUAUAGUGUAACCCUUAUAUUUGAGUCUUUGGCCUAUUUUGAGUUAAUUUUUGUAUUUUGCAUGAGGUAGGGGUGGAAGUUUUUUGUUUUUUUGUUUUUUUUUUGCAUGUAGAUACCAAGUUGUCCCAGUACCAUUUAUUGAAAAUAGUUAUUUCCCCUUUUGUCUUGCCUCCUUCUCAGAAGUUAAUUGGCUGCAAAUUAACUUUUGUGAGGGCUUAUGUCUGGACUUUGGAUUCUAUUUCAUUGAUCAAUAUUUAUAUCCUAUGCCAGUACCACAUAGACUUGUUUAUUGUAGCUUUGUAAUAAGUUUUAAAAUUUGGAAAUGUGACUCUUCAAACUUUGUAUACUUCAAGAUUGUUUUGGCUAUUCUGGGUCCAUUACAUUUUCAUAUGAACUUUAGAAUCAGGUUAUAAAUUUCUUCAAAGUAGGCAACCUUAAUUUUGAUAAGGGUUGCAUUGAAUAGUUUGAUUAUUUUGAAGAGUGUUGUCAUCUUUAUAAUACUGUGCCUUCUGAUGCAUAAAAUGCCUUUCACCAGAUGUCCUUUUAAAGAAGUCUGUGUUUACUGUUUGUGAUGUUCAGCCUGGCUCAGAAGUUUUAAAACUCUAAUGUGUGAUUAGUAAUAUUAUACAAUCUUUAAAAUAACUGUCUAUAAUUUAUUAAGUGUGCAUAACAUAACUCUAGAAUAUACAUAAAUGUCACCAUACCUCCAUUUGUGAUUUUUCAGAUUCUUUAAUUCUGAUGCUAGGGACUAAUUUCAGAGGAUUGGGUA